GAUGAAGAACGUAGCGAAAUGCGAUAAGUAAUGUGAAUUGCAGAAUUCAGUGAAUCAUCGAAUCUUUGAACGCACAUUGCGCCCGCCAGUAUUCUGGCGGGCAUGCCUGUUCGAGCGUCAUUACAACCCUCAGGCCCCCGUGCCUGGCGUUGGGGAUCGGCGGAAGCCCCCUGCGGGCACAACGCCGUCCCCCAAAUACAGUGGCGGUCCCGCCGCAGCUUCCAUUGCGUAGUAGCUAACACCUCGCAACUGGAGAGCGGCGCGGCCACGCCGUAAAACACCCAACUUCUGAAUGUUGACCUCGAAUCAGGUAGGAAUACCCGCUGAACUUAAGCAUAUCAAUAAGCGGAGGA
rnacentral:misc_RNA from 1 species